rnacentral:rRNA from 1 species
GACGAACGCUGGCGGCGUGCCUAAUACAUGCAAGUCGUGCGGACCUUGUUGAAAGCUUGCUUUUAAAAGGUUAGCGGCGGACGGGUGAGUAACACGUGGGCAACCUACCUGUAAGACUGGGAUAACGCCGGGAAACCGGGGCUAAUACCAGAUCGUUUUUUCCUCCGCAUGGAGGAAAAAGGAAAGGCGGCUUCGGCUGCCACUUACAGAUGGGCCCGCGGCGCAUUAGCUAGUUGGCGGGGUAAUGGCCCACCAAGGCAACGAUGCGUAGCCGACCUGAGAGGGUGAUCGGCCACAUUGGGACUGAGACACGGCCCAAACUCCUACGGGAGGCAGCAGUAGGGAAUCUUCCGCAAUGGACGAAAGUCUGACGGAGCAACGCCGCGUGAGUGAAGAAGGCCUUCGGGUCGUAAAACUCUGUUGCCGGGGAAGAACAAGUGCCGUUCGAACAGGGCGGCGCCUUGACGGUACCCGGCCAGAAAGCCACGGCUAACUACGUG